rnacentral:rRNA from 1 species
UACGGAGGGGGCUAGCGUUGUUCGGAAUUACUGGGCGUAAAGCGCGCGUAGGCGGACCUGCAAGUCGGGGGUGAAAGCCCGAGGCUCAACCUCGGAACUGCCUUCGAUACUGCGGGUCUCGAGUCCGGGAGAGGUGAGUGGAAUUCCUAGUGUAGAGGUGAAAUUCGUAGAUAUUAGGAAGAACACCAGUGGCGAAGGCGGGUCUCUGGGCCGUAACUGACGCUGAGGAGCGAAAGCGUGGGGAGCGAACAGG